rnacentral:rRNA from 1 species
AUUGAACGCUGGCGGCAGGCCUAACACAUGCAAGUCGAGCGGUAGCACAGAGAGCUUGCUCUCGGGUGACGAGCGGCGGACGGGUGAGUAAUGUCUGGGAAACUGCCUGAUGGGGGGGGAUAACUACUGGAAACGGUAGCUAAUACCGCAUAACGUCGCAAGACCAAAGUGGGGGACCUUCGGGCCUCAUGCCAUCAGAUGUGCCCAGAUGGGAUUAGCUAGUAGGUGGGGUAACGGCUCACCUAGGCGACGAUCCCUAGCUGGUCUGAGAGGAUGACCAGCCACACUGGAACUGAGACACGGUCCAGACUCCUACGGGAGGCAGCAGUGGGGAAUAUUGCACAAUGGGCGCAAGCCUGAUGCAGCCAUGCCGCGUGUGUGAAGAAGGCCUUCGGGUUGUAAAGCACUUUCAGCGGGGAGGAAGGCGUUAAGGUUAAUAACCUUGGCGAUUGACGUUACCCGCAGAAGAAGCACCGGCUAACUCCGUGCCAGCAGCCGCGGUAAUACGGAGGGUGCAAGCGUUAAUCGGAAUUACUGGGCGUAAAGCGCACGCAGGCGGUCUGUCAAGUCGGAUGUGAAAUCCCCGGGCUCAACCUGGGAACUGCAUUCGAAACUGGCAGGCUAGAGUCUUGUAGAGGGGGGUAGAAUUCCAGGUGUAGCGGUGAAAUGCGUAGAGAUCUGGAGGAAUACCGGUGGCGAAGGCGGCCCCCUGGACAAAGACUGACGCUCAGGUGCGAAAGCGUGGGGAGCAAACAGGAUUAGAUACCCUGGUAGUCCACGCCGUAAACGAUGUCGAUUUGGAGGUUGUGCCCUUGAGGCGUGGCUUCCGGAGCUAACGCGUUAAAUCGACCGCCUGGGGAGUACGGCCGCAAGGUUAAAACUCAAAUGAAUUGACGGGGGCCCGCACAAGCGGUGGAGCAUGUGGUUUAAUUCGAUGCAACGCGAAGAACCUUACCUGGUCUUGACAUCCACAGAACUUUCCAGAGAUGGAUUGGUGCCUUCGGGAACUGUGAGACAGGUGCUGCAUGGCUGUCGUCAGCUCGUGUUGUGAAAUGUUGGGUUAAGUCCCGCAACGAGCGCAACCCUUAUCCUUUGUUGCCAGCGGUUCGGCCGGGAACUCAAAGGAGACUGCCAGUGAUAAACUGGAGGAAGGUGGGGAUGACGUCAAGUCAUCAUGGCCCUUACGACCAGGGCUACACACGUGCUACAAUGGCAUAUACAAAGAGAAGCGACCUCGCGAGAGCAAGCGGACCUCAUAAAGUAUGUCGUAGUCCGGAUUGGAGUCUGCAACUCGACUCCAUGAAGUCGGAAUCGCUAGUAAUCGUAGAUCAGAAUGCUACGGUGAAUACGUUCCCGGGCCUUGUACACGCCGCCCGUCACACCAUGGGAGUGGGUUGCAAAAGAAGUAGGUAGCUUAACCUUCGGGAGGGCGCUUACCACUUUGUGAUUCAUGACUGGGGUGA